GUAAGUUUUGGAAACCAGUAAAUAACAUGGGGUGUUGUAGUGGUGUGAGUUAAGCGCUGACAAUGGCAGUGGGCUGAGAUUUCGGUACUGCUGCAGAUGGUGGAUGGAGGAAGGAGGUGGGCACCAGGAUGUUUGCAUUUUUUUUUUGUUUAAACUGCUGCAGGUUGCACAGUUCAUUUGCAAUUGAAAUACCAAAGACAACACGGCCCCAGCAAUACAGUCAUUUUUGACUGUGGCACUGAAAGACAGGGAUAUUGUAAUUUCAGCGAGUGUUAUUCACAGCCUCUUAGUUAUCAAAAGAACCAUGCUAUUUAAAGGUAACUAAUGGAUGAAAUAUGAAUAAAGAUUAAACUACAAAGGCUAAAAGGGAUUAUUUAGAGCACUUCCAUAAUACGGAGCCCUGACAUUAAUAUUUAGACACUCGUGAACACUUACAUAACGGCAGCUUAUUUUUAAUGGUCUUCUAUCUUGCUUUGUUAACAAGCUGACAAAAUGUAAUUUAGGACUAUAAGCUAUGAGCCCCACAUGGAGAAGAAAAGCCUGUAAUUCACAUCAUGCUCUGGCUUUUAAGACUUAGGAGACGGUUGUGAUUGUAUGGCAGAAUGCAGCUUGCAGGGCAAUAUCCAUUUACAUGCCAUUUGAAACCUUCAGGCUAAGCGUAGCACUGCAGAGUGCAUCAUAAAAAACGGAAGAAAAGAAGCCAGUUUAGUUACAAUUGGACUGACAUGAUGGCAAAUUAAUUCAUAAGGUAAGAGGAAGAAAAGGAUCUGCAGCUCCAUCAGCGUGGCUGCAUACCCACUGAUGCUUGCGGGUUGUAAGCUUUGCUUUGCAUCACUGAUUCAUCACUCCUGAUUUCCCGUCAUUCCCUCAGUAUAAAGCUGAAGAAAGGGGGCAAUGCAUGGGGUCGGUGUUUCCCAGGCAAAUAGAAAAAGGCGAGAGGAGCCAACAUAAAAAAAAAGCUGGUGUUGUGUGCACUAGGAAAUCAAGGUUGUUAGUUAACAUUUAUUUUCUCCUCAUCCAGCCUGAAGUUAAUCAUUAUUAAGCCUGUUUUGAGAAAAUCAGGGCUAGGGUUGACCCGCAUUAUGGGUGGAUGCCACCAGCAAUUAGUCUGGGCUGUACCCUCCACAUCUUUUGCCCACUAUCUUCCUCCUGAUGUGUUGAUGGGUGCAGGACCUCCUUCUCCUCCUCAGUUCACUUCACAGGUGUGCUCAGACCCUGAGAGGGGAAAAAACUGCUGAGACAAUCACUCUGCUUCAGAAGACUUCAGAGACAGUUGUGGCCACUGGUCUCAUUGUGUCUGAGAACCUGAUGUGAUGUGACAUUGCAGAACGGAGCUGAUGAUCAAUCUCUCUGAUGACAACAAGGAAUCCUCUCAGGUUCAAGCUCUAAUCAGGGACUACAGAGGGCAGCAGCACCGCCAAGCACUUGGGCAGCUGCUCCCUGCCACUGGACCAGGAGGCUGAUUUUCACCAGAAACACAGAUGGAAGAGACAAGAAACUCCUGAGCCCUCAUUGUCAUCUUGGGCAAAUAGGGUGAAUGACAAGAAGGAGAGAAUGAAUGGAUACAGUCAGACCCGCGUUUUGUGUGGAAGCAAAGAAGCACGAGGAAACUGUCUCAAGUUGUACUACGGAAGAUUUACAUUGGACAUUAGGAAGAAUUUCUUCAUAGUGGUCAAACAAUGGAAUGGGCUGUCCAAGGAAAUGAUGGGGUCCCCCUCCCCAGAGUUGUUUAUGAGAAAUGUGGAUGUGGCACGAAGGGACGUUGUUUAGUAAAAGGUCUCAGUAUAUCAGGUUGAUAGUUGGAUUUGGUGACCUUGAAGUUGUUUUCCAACCUAGAUGAUUCCCUGAUUCUGUGAUUCUGUUUAAAUGCUGAGGUUACACAUAAACAAGGCCCGGUGUCCCAGCUGGCUGGCAGCCUCUAUUUCAGGGGGAAGAGGCAAUGGGAUGGCUGGGGAAGGUGAAAUGUUGAAAAUGUGUGUUCUGAAAGCAGACUAGUAAUGAUCCUUGAGAAGAUAUUCAUUUGUGUCUAAUGUGGCUAAGGAAAAGAAGGAAGAAGAGAAACCUGAGCAAACAAAUACACUGUGGACAGCCCAGCAGAACUGAGUUUUACAGCCAGCUCUGCUGCCCAGGAGCAUCACUUUCCUCAACUCAUUCCAGGACGCCUGCAGCACUCUGACCGCAGACUGACUUGUGACUGCUCAGCCCACCAGCAAGUCUGGGGGAGUGGAGAGGAGAUGAUGGGUCCUAUCUCCAGUCUGGCCAGAGGACACCUCAAGCAGUCUCAGGCUCUCUGAAGCCACAGGGCCACACCACAUCCUUCUUCCCAAAACUGCAAAUCCCAAGGGGGCUGAUAACUAGGAAAAUCCAGAGUAAAAUAUGUAGAAACUUCUUACAGAGCUUUCCCUUCAUCUGCAUUUGUAGAAGGAGUGACCAAACUCUCAAGGUUUCUAGCCUAAAGUUUGACAUCCAUUAACAAUAUACAUUUGUUUUCAACAUCUACAUAAACAGGAUCCUGUGUACCCCGUCUCCUUUAGAGAGAAAAAUAAAAAUAAACAAAUAUCAUGUGUGUAUCCAGGAACCUCACACAGAAUGCUUGCAAAAUUAUAUGUGCCCUCUGCCUGUAAAACUCUGCUGUGCUCAGGUGUUUGUAGCAUUUGGGCCUUUGUGAGAGAAAACAAGAGAAACUCAUUGACCUCAGUAUGUCUUGGGACAAAGAUUCCUGAAGAAUUAUUGUAUAGACAAGGGAAAGAAAUUCUUUAGGUUAUUAUAG
ensembl:lncRNA